UUGCUUUUAAAGUCAGCUUUUUCCGCUAUACUGUCUAUUGUCUUUAUUGACUAUGGAUAUAAACGCGCUCGCAAUAAGCGGAUCGGACCCGGGGGCGGUACCCGGCGACUCCACCAAAUAUCGUUCAUUUGACGAUUAUGGGGUCGAAAUAGGAUCGACGAACGUCUAAAGGAGUUAGCUUUAUCUCGGUGAGAUACCACCGUUAUCGGUUCAAUUUAAGCUAGUUGCAAAUGACAACAGAGCUCCGGUAGCCCUAGCUGCGUAAGCAGUUCGGAAAACCGAAAACUUAAGUCCUAUGACCUUGCAGUUAUAGGGGGGGCCCGUAGGAGCCUCGCAACAGAAUCCUACACU
rnacentral:tmRNA from 1 species